UAGAGAUAGUAAGAGUUGCGACACUCCCAUAGGGUGCCGUUGUACGCUUUCUUCCUGUCUACUUCCGGGUUGUGGAGGCUUGUUUAGUUCCAAGCACCGCUUCGACAGUGAUAGCCACCGUUCAUUUGCACUGCAGGUUGUUGAGUAUAUGUGGAGUAUCCCGAGAACCCUCACUGAAGACACGAAGACCCUCAUUGUUUCUCCCAUUGUCAAUAAAACAUACUAUUUCAUUCAUCAAA